rnacentral:rRNA from 1 species
GAGGCAGCAGUGGGGAAUAUUGCACAAUGGGCGCAAGCCUGAUGCAGCCAUGCCGCGUGUGUGAAGAAGGCCUUCGGGUUGUAAAGCACUUUCAGCGGGGAGGAAGGCGGUGAGGUUAAUAACCUCAUCGAUUGACGUUACCCGCAGAAGAAGCACCGGCUAACUCCGUGCCAGCAGCCGCGGUAAUACGGAGGGUGCAAGCGUUAAUCGGAAUUACUGGGCGUAAAGCGCACGCAGGCGGUCUGUCAAGUCGG